CAUAUUGUAUUUUUGGAAAAUUUAUUACUGUGUAAUAAUGUAUAAUUGGUUGAUUUUGUUCUAAAUGAAACUCUGUUAAAACUAAAUUUAGUAAGCGUGAGAAUAUAAAUAUUUGUCCAUAUAUGUACGUAUGUAUGUGCAUAAUGUAUGUAUGUAUCUGACGUAAUGCGUUAUUAAUUUCGGUUUUCUAAGCAUAAGGUUUUGAAAGUUGAAAACGCUCCGGAAGAAUAAUUGGCAUUUGUUAAUUAUCAAACAAUUGUGGGUAGUAUCGGGUGUUUUUAGCUGGAAGCGAACUAUCGAUAUCGAUAACUAUCAUUUGAUAGCUGAGAAUGGCAAAGUUUGGCAGGUAAUCAUGAAUCGUUUAAAGUCAGAACUACGUUUUCAAAUUUUCUUUGAAAAAAAAAGAAAUCUCUUCGCGAAGUUCAUAGAGCGAAGAGUUGAAGAAAACGCCGAAAUGUCGAAUCCUCGUCAUUCUCAACUUGUUGACCUUUGUCCUUCUACUACGUCGGAAAUUUCACAUAAGUACCUUGGUUUAUGGGCCUGUAAAAUACAGUUCGUGCAAUAUUUGAAUCCAAAUGAUCAUCGUCUGGGUCGUUGUUAUGCUGAUAAGGUUAAUUUAGAUUUAUUAUCCAGAUUUAUUGGAAAAAGUAGUCAAAAAGUGGACUGAUCGAAUCGACCAUGUAGCUUGUAGCCGUUACCGAAAAAUACCAUUAAUUUAUCUACCAGAUUAUAAUAAAACAAUUCAUUCAAA